UUGAACAAGUAUGGUGGGUUGUAGCUGGCUUCACGAAGCAUGUGCACACCUGCUGUCUUUAUAUAUCCCUCUGUGCACAAUUUGUAGUCCUGGAGAGCGAGCAGCUCAGCUCCCGCGUCGGAAAGGAAGUGAUUUCUUUCGCUGGGUGUUUGAUUCAGGUCUAUGUAUUUUCCAUAGACAAUAUAGCAUGUUACAGAAUGUAGUCAUUGGGUCAUUGUGCCUAUAAAACUCUAUA
rnacentral:misc_RNA from 1 species